UACAGAGGUCCCAAGCGUUGUUCGGAUUCACUGGGCGUAAAGGGUGCGUAGGUGGCAGGGUAAGUUUGAUGUGAAAUCUCCGAGCUCAACUCGGAAACUGCAUUGAAUACUAUCCUGCUUGAGGAUUGGAGGGGAGACUGGAAUUCUCGGUGUAGCAGUGAAAUGCGUAGAUAUCGAGAGGACACCAGUGGCGAAGGCGAGUCUCUAGACAACUCCUGACACUGAGGCACGAAAGCUAGGGGAGCAAACAGG
rnacentral:rRNA from 1 species